rnacentral:rRNA from 1 species
UAACAAGGUAGCUGUAGGUGAACCUGCUGCUGGAUCAUUAACGACUAUAAACAGCCACUUAACGGCUCCGUUGGUUUCUGUGUGCUGCGAGCAAUCGUGUUGUCCGUGAUUGUGUCGACCCAGCACGACAGCCCUCACGGGUAGAAUUAAUGAGCACUCGACUGUGCCGCCAACACCAUUUCAUUUUCCACAUUCUACUCACAAAUAUUCUAGCCUUACCGGUGGAUCACUCGGUUCGUAGAUCGAUAAAGAACGCAGCCAAAUGCGAUAAUUGGUGUGAACUGCAGAUACAUUGAGCACUAAGGUUUCGAAUGCAUAUUGCGUCGUCGGAUUCCAUCCUUCGACAUGUCUGGUUCAGGGUCGUAAAUACACACCGUGCUAACGACGCAGUAAUAGCUCGAAUCACUCACUAUGUGGCUUGAGCGUGUUGACACUUGGCGGUGUGGUGAUUAGUUACGGGGAUUUGUAUGACUAUAAAUACUCCGUAUCCAAUCCCUCACGGCCUCUCAAUUCCGACCUGAGCUCAGACAUGGGCACCCGCUGAACUUAAGCAUAUCAGUA